AGGCGGAGAUUGCAGCAAGCCAACGUCAUGCCACUGCAUUCCAGCCUGGGCAACAAAGAGAGACUCUGUCUCAAAAAAAUAAAUAAAUAAAAUAAAAUAAAAGACGAGGAGAGGGGACAUUUCCGACAGAACAAGUGACUGUAAAAAGGAGUUGGGAAGGGGCUGGACUCAGGCUCUAGGGACUCCAGGGCUCUGCCCUUUGUCCUGUUCCAGGCAGCUCCCUGAGGGCUGGGCUGGGUGGAGCUGGCAGGAAGGAUGUUGAGGUUGCCAGAAACUCGCCAGGAAUCCCUGGCAGAGGGCACUGGGGCAGGGGCAGGCCUAGUAGGGCCAUGGGUGAGGACUGGGGCAGAGGUAGGGCCGAGGGGAUUCAGCUUUGGGGGGUGUGUUCCACUGACUGACUAUCCCCCCCAGGCCCUUUCUUUGUCCGAGAGAGUUUCUCAACAGUUGGAUCUGACUCCUGAGGACUGAGCAGGGGUAAGACCAGCGGUGGGGAGGAAAGUUGUGUGGGGGAUGGAAAGGGGAUGGAGGAAGGGCCAGGUCUGGGGCCUUGGGAGGAAGCAAAGGCUUCUGAAGUGGAGAAGCUUGGAAUCAGAUGCAGGCAGGGACAGUGAGUGGCUGGAUCCCUGAGAAUGUCUGCAUAAAAGAGAAAAUGUUGCACCAACA